GAGAGUAGGUGCGGCGAUUGCGGAUGUUUUGCAUCUGAGGAAAGUCCGGGCUCUCGAAAGACCAAAACCGCUGGGUAACCCCCAGGACAGGUGACUGUGCGGAAAGUGCCACAGAAACAUACCGCCGAUGGCUGGCAAUUGUCAGUACAGGUAAGGGUGCAAGGGUGUGGUAAGAGCGCACCAGCAGUAUCGAGAGGUACUGGCUCGGUAAACCCCGGUUGAGAGCAAGGUGGAGGGACAAGGGUUGGUCUUUUGCCCGUCCCGUGCCCAGGAACCGCUUGAGGUGGCGGGCAACCGUCAUCCCAGAUAGAUAAUCGCCCUCGAACAGAACCCGGCUUACGGCCUAGUCUCCCCA
rfam:Gloeomargarita lithophora Alchichica-D10 chromosome.